rnacentral:lncRNA from 10 species
UGUUAGCAACAAGGCUGUUUAUUUCACCUGGGUGCAGGCGGGCUGAGUCCGAAAAGAGAGUCAGCCAAGGGAGAUAAAGGUGGGGCUGUUUUAUAGGAUUUGGGUAGAUAAAGGAAAAUUACAGUCAAAGGGGGCUGUUCUCUGGCGGGCAGGAGUGGGGGUCACAAUGUACUCAGUGGGGGAGCUUUUGAGCCAGGAUGAGCCAGGAGAAGGAAUUUCACAAGACAAUGUCAUCAGUUAAGGCACGAACAGGUCAUUUUCACUUCUUUCGUGGUGGAAUGUCAUCAGUUAAGGCAGGAACCGGCCAUCUGGAUGUGUACGUGCAGGUCACAGGGGAUAUGAUGGCUUAGCUUGAGCUCAGAGGCCUGACAUUCCUGUCUUCUUAUAUUAAUAAGAAAAAUAAAACGAAAUAGUGGUAAAGUGUUGGGACGGUGAAAAUUUUGGGGGGUGGUGUGGAGAGAUAAUGGACGAUGUUUCUCAGGGCUGCUUCGAGCGGGAUUAGGGGCGGCGUGGGAACCUAGAGUGGGAGAGAUUAAGCUGAAGGAAGUUUUUGUGGUAAGGGGUGAUAUUGUGGGGUUGUUAGAAGAAACAUUUGUCAUUUAGAAUUAUUGGUGAUGGCCUGGAUACAGUUUUGUAUGAAUUGAAAAACUAAACGGAAUAAGAGAAGGAGAAAACAGGUAUUAAAGGACUAAGAAUUGGGAGGACCUAGGACAUCUAAUUAGAGAGUGCCUAAGGAGGUUCAGCAUAGCCUUGCCAGUAAAGAUUAUUUAUUUACUUCAAGAGUUUAGAGUGGCAGUUUGGGGAUAGCACCAGGAGAUAUCAGCUGUGAUGUCUUGGAGAAACAGUGUAAACCGGCAGUGUAAACAAGAGCAGGGCAUGUAUGAGUAGUUGAGAACGGUGAAUAGGAGUAUGACUAGACAGAAGAUAGUAGGGAUGACAAGUUUUUUGGGGCACAGUCUAAGUUGGUCUGGUGUCUGGAAUGAGACUGGGGCCUAAUAAAAAGGAGCGUCUAUACAGGAGCUCAAAUGGGCUGUACCCUGUAGCAUUCUGAGCACAGGUCUGACUUCUGAGAAGGAAAAGUGGUAAAAGUAUUGUCCAGUCCUUUUUAAGCUGGUGGCUGAGCUUGGUGAGGUGUGUUUUUAAAAGACCUUUAGUCCGUUCUACUUUUCCUGAAGACGGAGGACCGUAAGGGACAUAAAGGUUUCCUUGAAUACUAAGAGCCUGAAAAACUGCUUGGCUGAUUUGACUAAUAAAGGCUGGUCUGUUAUCAGACUGUAUAGAGGUGGGAAGGCUAAACUGAGGAAUUAUGUCUGACAGAAGGGAAGAAAUGACUGCGGUGGCCUUCUCAGACCCUGUAGGAAAGGCCUGUACCUAUCCAGUGAAAGUGUCUACCUAGACUAAGAGGUAUUUUAGUUAUCUGACUCGGGGCAUGUUGAGUAAAGCUAAUUUGCCAGUCCUGGGUGGGGGCAAAUCCUCGAGCUUAAUGUGUAGGGAAGGGAGGGGGCCUGAAUAAUCCCUGAGGAGUAGUAGAAUAGCAGACGGAACACUGAGAAGUUAUUUCCUUGAUGAUAGAUUUCCACAAUGGAAAGAAAAUGAGGAGAGAUUCUAAGAGGCAGGCUAGUGGCUUGUACUAUAGCAUAGCCUGCCUUUGCUGGUGUGUGGCGAUUAGGCCUGGUGGAACUGCCAUCAAUAAAUCAAGCGUGAUCGGGGGAGGAACAGGAAAGAAGGAAAUAUGGGGAAAUGGGGUGAAUGUCAGGUGGAUCAGAGAGAUACAGUCAUGGGGGUCAGGUGUGGUAUCAGGAAUAAUGUGGGAGGCCGGAUUGAAGUCUGGGCCAGGAACAAUGGUAAUUGUGGGACUUAACAAAGAGUGAGUACAGCUGAAGGAGCCGGGGAGCAGAAAGUAUAUGCAUCAGGUAUGAGGAAGAAAAUAGAUUUUGGAAGUUAUGAGAAAUGUAGAGAGUGAGUUGAGCAUAGUUUGAUUUUUAGGACCUCUAAAAGUAUUAAAGCAGCGGCAGCCGCUGCCCACAGACAUGAGGGCUAGGCUAAAACAGUAAGGUCAAGUUGUCUGGACAGAAAGGCUACAGGGUGCGGUCCUGGCUCUUGUGUAAGAAUUCUGACCACACUAACCAUGCCUAGGAAGGAAAGGAGUUGUUGUUUUGUAAGGGAUUGAGGUUUGGGAGAUUAAUCGGACACGAUCAGCAGGGAGAGCACGUGUGUUUUUAUGAAAAUUAUGCCAAGAUAGGUAACAGACGAGGAUGAAAUUUGGGCUUGACUGAAGUAAUGGGGGCUGCCUGUGAAGCCUUGCGGCAGUACAGCCCAGGUAAUUUCCUGAGCCUAAUGGGUGUCAGGGUCAGUCUAAGCGAAAGCGAAGAGAGGCUGGGAUGAAGGGUACAAAGGAAUAGUAAAGAAAGCACGUUUGAGAUCCAGAACAGAAUAAUGGGUUGUAGAGGGAGGCAUUGAGGAGAGUAUAUAGGUUUGGCACCACGGGGUGGAUAGGCAAAACAAUUUGGUUGAUAAGGCGCAGAUUCUGAACUAACCUGUAAGCCUUGUCUGGUUUUAGGACAGGUAAAAUGGGGGAAUGGUAAGGAGCGUUUAUAGGCUUUAAAAGGCCAUGCUGUAGCAGGCGAGUGAUAACAGGCUUUAGUCCUUUCAAAGCAUGCUGUGGGAUGGGAUAUUGGCAUUGAGCGGGGUAAGAGUGAUGAGGUUUUAAUGGGAUGGUAAGGGGUGCAUGAUCGGUCGCUAAGGAGGGAGUAGAGGUGUCUUAUACUUGUGGGUUAAGGUGGGGAGAUACAAGGGGAGGAUGUGAAGGAGGCUUUGAGCUAGGGGAAAAGGUGGCAAUGAGGUGUGGCUGUAGCCCAGGAAUAGUCAGGGAAGCAGAUAAUUUAGUUAAAGUGUCUCGGCCUAAUAAGGGAACUGGGCAGGUGGGGAUAACUAAAAAGGAGUGCUUAAAAGAGUAUUGUCUAAGUUGGCACCAGAGUUGGGGAGUUUUAAGAGGUUUAGAAGCCUGGCCGUCAAUACCCACAACAGUUAUGGAGGCAAGGGAAACAGGCCCUUGAAAAUAAGGUAAUGUGGAGUGGGUAGCCUCCGUAUUGAUUAAGAAGGGGACGGACUUACCCUCCACUGUGAGAGUUACCUAAAGCUUGGCAUCUGUGAUGGUCUACAGGGCUUCUGAGGCAAUCAGGCAGCGUCAGUCUUCAGCCGCUAAGCCGAGAAGAUCUGGGAAGGAGUCAGUCAGAGAGCCUUGGGCCAGAGUUCCAGGGUCUCUGGGAGUGGCUGCCAGGACUGGCACAAAUGACAUCUACCAGUCUGGGAAUUUUGACAUUCAGAUGUUCAUCCAUCCAUCUUCGGAAAUCUCCAAUGUCACAGAUUCUGAAGGAAACAGACAGCACAACAACAACAGCCUCUCUCAGUCCUCACCCAAAUCUUUCUUCUGAAAUUGGAUGCUGAUGGCCACCAAACACGUUUUUAAAAGACCAGUGCAGUUUGAAGAACAGAUGUAGGCGAAUAACAUGAACAUUGCUUCAUCUUUGUUCCACAAGUUUCUGAGACAGCACCGGAAACAUGUGGAAUUAACAACGUGGACACCUUAUGUGGCACAGCUGUUACGCUUUGAGGAAAGGCGAUUGCUGGUAAGUUCUUCAGGAAGAAACACCUUCAAAAUGGAAAACAGCUGACAUCAAUUAACUUCUGGCUUUUCUGUAAUUUUGUAUGCUGGCCUAUAAUCGUAAAGUAGCAAACAUUUUCAGGUACUGCAACACAUCACUCCGUCAAAACAUAUUACUCCACAAUGAUACAUACAAACUAUGAACGCAGUCAGAAUGAUUUUAUUGAAAUGUUUUAGUACAGUGUUAGAGGAUCUUAAAAU